rnacentral:rRNA from 1 species
AGCGAACGCUGGCGGCAGGCCUAACACAUGCAAGUCGAACGAAGUCUUCGGACUUAGUGGCGGACGGGUGAGUAACACGUGGGAACGUGCCUUUAGGUUCGGAAUAACUCAGGGAAACUUGUGCUAAUACCGAAUGUGCCCUUCGGGGGAAAGAUUUAUCGCCUUUAGAGCGGCCCGCGUCUGAUUAGCUAGUUGGUGGGGUAAAGGCUCACCAAGGCUACGAUCAGUAGCUGGUCGGAGAGGAUGACCAGCCACAUUGGGACUGAGACACGGCCCAAACUCCUACGGGAGGCAGCAGUGGGGAAUCUUGCGCAAUGGGCGAAAGCCUGACGCAGCCAUGCCGCGUGGAUGAUGAAGGUCUUAGGAUUGUAAAAUCCUUUCACCGGUGAAGAUAAUGACUGUAGCCGGAGAAGAAGCCCCGGCUAACUUCGUGCCAGCCGCCGCGGUAAAAC